GAUGAAGAACGCAGCGAAAUGCGAUAAGUAAUGUGAAUUGCAGAAUUCCGUGAAUCAUCGAAUCUUUGAACGCACAUUGCGCCCCCUGGUAUUCCGGGGGCAUGCCUGUCCGAGCGUCAUUGCAACCUUCAAGCGCGGCUUGUGUGUUGGGUCUCGUCCCCCGUGGACGGGCCCGAAAGGCAGUGGCGGCGUCCCGACAUGGUGCCCGAGCGUAUGGGAAUCCUCUUCCGCUCGAAUCGGCCCAUGCGGCGCUGGUCGUAACCAAAUUUUUUACCGGUUGACCUCGGAUCAGGUAGGGAUACCCGCUGAACUUAAGCAUAUCAAUAAGCGGAGGA
rnacentral:misc_RNA from 1 species